AACAUUCAUUGCUGUCGGUGGGU
rnacentral:ncRNA from 17 species